AGGGCGACUAGUCGCUAGGAGUAGACCCGAAACCGGCGCGAUCUAUCCUUGGCCAGGUUGAAGAUUAGGUAGUACUAAUUGGAGGACCGAACCCAAUACUGUUGCAAAAGUAUGGGAUGAGAUGUGGAUCGGAGUGAAAGGCUAAUCAAGCACGGAGAAAGCUGGUUCUCACCGAAAACUAUUUAGGUAGUGCCUCGUGUAUAACUCAUUGGGGUAAAGAACUGUUUCGAC
rnacentral:rRNA from 1 species